rnacentral:lncRNA from 1 species
CACACAGCCUGUAAUAUUUCAGUUCAGUGAGGUCACAAGAAAAACUCAGUUAAAGCCUUAUUAGAGCAGUUUACAGGAGCACAUUACUGCGAAUAUGAAAUGAGAGUCUUGUCUUGAUGGAUGCGUCACCUACCCAAGAUAUUUGUUGAGAAUAAUUUGAAAAUGUAAGUAAGCAUAAUUAAGCUUCUGUCUUAUGGUAGUCUGGUCAUUUGUAUCCAGGUGCCCUCAUCUGUGUAGAUUUGACACUGCAAAUGCCUGGAAUAUAAUGAGACACAUUUCAGUCAUUCAGUUUUAAGUUAAUAUAUGGGCUUUUGCGAAUUAAAAGAGGUCUUUAGAAUUGAAAAUAAAUUGCAAUUAAUAUUUUUUUUAAAGAUUUUAUUUUUUUUUCCUUUUUCUCCCCAAAGCACCCCCGUACAUGGUUGUAUAUUCUUCGUUGUGGGUCCUUCUAGUUGUGGCAUGUGGGACGCUGCCUCAGCGUGGUUUGACGAGCAGUGCCAUGUCCGCGCCCAGGAUUCGAACCAACGAAACACUGGGCCGCCUGCAGCGGAGCGCGCGAACUUAACCACUCGGCCACGGGGCCAGCCCCUGCAAUUAAUAUUUUUAUCCGGCCCAAGAAUCCUCUACCUACGGCUGGCAGAUGAAGAAAAGAAAUCGGAGGAGGCACACUGUCUACAGAGCUGAAUGGAAAAGGACAUUUCUAUUUACUUCAGAGGAAGUUCGUUAUGAAAUAAGGAUCAUCCUUGAAUACUCCUUUCUCCAUGGUCACAAGAUUGUUACAAAGAGGUGACAUAAAGUACCUCUCCUGAUUAUGAUUCUGGACUGCCUGUGUUCAAACCUCAGCUCUGUGACUCCUGAUGAAUAGUUCAAUUCUUCUGUUUCCCUACAUGUAAAAUGGGUACAGCAAUAGUGCCUGCCUCAUUGGUCACUGUGAUGAUUAUAAAUGUAAUGCCCUCAAAAUCGCAUA